rnacentral:lncRNA from 1 species
CAGCUGGUAGGCAGUCUGACAUGGGCAUGCUCCUACAGGUGGCUAAUACCGCUCUCCAUGGGACCUUGAUGGUUCUCUUCACCACUGGUCAUGAUGGGUGCACUCUUUGAUAUCAGAAGUACCUGGGAAAGAGCACAGGUGUCUGGGCUUUUGAUUCUGACAAGGCCAACAGACUGGAUUUGAGGGAAGAUCCCCCAGGACCACCUUGAGUGGCAUUUAGAAACUGUGUGGCAUAUGGGGGUGUAGGCAUGACUUGGUGGUGCCUUCUACCCACUGGGGCUUCAUUUACAGAGGACUGGAAGGUUUCAGGUGUGGGAAAAGUAGUAUUAUUAGUUAGAAAAUUAAUCAUGGAUUACAUAAUGCUGAAAGGGAGGUGGGCUUAGAGUGCUGGCAGGAGCCAUAGGGAGAGGGCCUUCCCUCAUGCUGCUGGUACCAGGUUUCUCCUGCCUGCCCCUCAAGGGUCUAGAGACCCUACUUCUCCAUUCUAGUCAUGGUUUCAUCCAACUCCUCACCUGGAGCUCAGUCACUGGGCUCUCUCCUUUGGGACUAUCAGCUUAUGUAGUUGUGGGUAUGGUGGGCAGAAGACUGGCCAGGACCCUGUUGAGAUUGGUGGCCCUUCCUGUUUAGGGCUGGUGUAGAGUUGAUGCUGCCCUCUAUCCCUGGGGUGGACGUGUGUUGGGGGCUGGUAAGAGAUGUCGGAAUGGAGAGGUAAAGGUGAUUGGGGGCUGGCAGGGGACACCUGAAUGGAGAGGUGACACCCCAGGAGUUGGGACCCGCCUCUUCUGGGAUAGCUUGCGGGCUCAGCAGUGAGCUACGUGGCAAUCCCGGAUGAGGUGCUGGGGAGGCUCCGCUAAUGGGUUGUUGGCACCGCCUUCGGGGUGGAUCCUUGUAGCCUUCAUGACCUGCCCUCAGAUUAUAUAACGGGCUGAGAACAAAAGAUUGGGGGAUCCUCCACAAUAAAGAGCAUACACCACACUCGCGUCCUGUCUGGUCCUUGAGCCCACCUUUCCCCCAGGGUGGGUCCGGAGACGUCCGAAGCCUAGCUCCCAGGGAAGGAGACGUGCCUGAAGGGCCCAGCCCGGGUCAAGUGGCGCCCGAACAGGGACUUGAGUUCCUCUUCGGCGACCCCGCCAGGUAUGGGGUUAUCUCUUUGUGUCUCCACAGAAUGAAAAGGACAAUGGUAAAGGAAGAUGGAUCCCUGUCCGGUGGGCCAGAGAACUUGAGAAAAAAGAAGAACAGGCGUACCAGGAGGAGGAGACGCAAGAGGGGGCGCCGCGGGGACUGCCAUGUGCGCUGCCAGAGGAGAUAUAGAAACGAACCUUCUUGCGUUUCCACUCCGGUUAUUUUCUUU